rnacentral:rRNA from 1 species
GACGAGCGCUGGCGGCGUGCCUAAUACAUGCAAGUUGAGCGCUGAAGGUUGGUACUUGUACCAACUGGAUGAGCAGCGAACGGGUGAGUAACGCGUGGGGAAUCUGCCUUUGAGCGGGGGACAACAUUUGGAAACGAAUGCUAAUACCGCAUAAAAACUUUAAACACAAGUUUUAAGUUUGAAAGAUGCAAUUGCAUCACUCAAAGAUGAUCCCGCGUUGUAUUAGCUAGUUGGUGAGGUAAAGGCUCACCAAGGCGAUGAUACAUAGCCGACCUGAGAGGGUGAACGGCCACAUUGGGACUGAGACACGGCCCAAACUCCUACGGGAGGCAGCAGUAGGGAAUCUUCGGCAAUGGACGAAAGGCUGACCGAGCAACGCCGGGGGAGUGAAGAAGGUUUUCGGAUCGUAAAACUCUGUUGGUAGAGAAGAACGUUGGUGAGAGUGGAAAGCUCAUCAAGUGACGGUAACUACACAGAAAGAGACGGCUAACUACGUG